GGCGAACGGGUGAGUAACACGUGGGUGAUCUGCCCUGCACUUCGGGAUCAGCUUGGGAAACUGGGUCUAAUACCGGAUAGGAGCCAUCUUCAGUGUGGUGGUUGGAAAGUUUUUCGGUGUAGGAUGAGCUCGCGGCCUAUCAGCUUGUUGGUGGGGUAAUGGCCUACCAAGGCGGCGACGGGUAGCCGGCCUGAGAGGGUGGACGGCCACAUUGGGACUGAGAUACGGCCCAG
rnacentral:rRNA from 1 species